AGUCAUCAUGGCCCUUACGACCAGGGCUACACACGUGCUACAAUGGCGCAUACAAAGAGAAGCGACCUCGCGAGAGCAAGCGGACCUCAUAAAGUGCGUCGUAGUCCGGAUUGGAGUCUGCAACUCGACUCCAUGAAGUCGGAAUCGCUAGUAAUCGUGGAUCAGAAUGCCACGGUGAAUACGUUCCCGGGCCUUGUACACACCGCCCGUCACACCAUGGGAGUGGGUUGCAAAAGAAGUAGGUAGCUUAACCUUCGGGAGGGCGCUUACCACUUUGUGAUUCAUGACUGGGGUGAAGUCGUAACAAGGUAACCGUAGGGGAACCUGCGGUUGGAUCACCUCCUUACCUUAAAGAAGC
rnacentral:rRNA from 2 species